rnacentral:rRNA from 1 species
AGCCAUGCAUGUCUAAGUAUAAGCAAUUAUACAGCGAAACUGCGAAUGGCUCAUUAUAUAAGUUAUCGUUUAUUUGAUAGUACCUUACUACUUGGAUAACCGUGGUAAUUCUAGAGCUAAUACAUGCUAAAAAUCCCGACUUCGGAAGGGAUGUAUUUAUUAGAUACAAAACCAAUGCCCCUCGGGGCUCUCUGGUGAUUCAUGAUAACUCGUCGAAUCGCACGGCCUUGCGCCGGCGAUGGUUCAUUCAAAUUUCUUCCCUAUCAACUUUCGAUGUUUGGGUAGUGGCCAAACAUGGUGGCAACGGGUAACGGAGGGUUAGGGCUCGACCCCGGAGAAGGAGCCUGAGAAACGGCUACUACAUCCAAGGAAGGCAGCAGGCGCGCAAAUUACCCAAUCCCGAUACGGGGAGGUAGUGACAAUAAAUACUGAUACAGGGCUCUUUUGGGUCUUGUAAUUGGAAUGAGUACAAUUUAAAUCCCUUAACGAGGAACAAUUGGAGGGCAAGUCUGGUGCCAGCAGCCGCGGUAAUUCCAGCUCCAAUAGCGUAUAUUAAAGUUGUUGUGGUUAAAAAGCUCGUAGUUGAAUCUUGGGCCUGGCUGGCCGGUCCGCCUCACCGCGUGUACUGGUCCGGCCGGGUCUUUCACUCUGCGGAACCACAUGCCCUUCAGUGGGUGUGGCGGGGAAGCAGGACUUUUACUUUGAAAAAAUUAGAGUGCUCUAAGCAGGCCAAUGCUCGAAUACAUUAGCAUGGAAUAAUAAAAUAGGACGCGCGGUUCUAUUUUGUUGGUUUCUAGGACCGCCGUAAUGAUGAAUAGGGACAGUCGGGGGCAUCAGUAUUCAGUUGUCAGAGGUGAAAUUCUUGGAUCUACUGAAGACUAACUACUGCGAAAGCAUUUGCCAAGGAUGUUUUCAUUAAUCAGGAACGAAAGUUAGGGGAUCGAAGACGAUCAGAUACCGUCGUAGUCUUAACCAUAAACUAUGCCGACUAGGGAUCGGACGAUGUUAUUUAGUUGACUCGUUCGGCACCUUACGAAAAAUCAAAGGGCUUGGGCUCCAGGGGGAGUAUGGUCGCAAGG